UGUGUAGAGGGGAGUGAGGGUACUGUGCACUAUCAAUCAGGUAACCUUUCCUACUCUCACAGU
ensembl:miRNA mdo-mir-7398i mdo-mir-7398i